rnacentral:rRNA from 1 species
CCUACGGGUGGCAGCAGUGAGGACUAUUGGUCCAUGGGCGCGAGCCUGAACCAGCCAAGUAGCGUGAAGGAUGACUGCCCUACGGGUUGUAAACUUCUUUUAUAAAGGAAUAAAGUGAGGCAUGUGUGCCUUUUUUUAUGUACUUUAUGAAUAAGGGUCGGCUAACUCCGUGCCAGCAGCCGCGGUAAUACGGAGGAUCCGAGCGUUAUCCGGAUUUAUUGGGUUUAAAGGGAGCGUAGAUGGGUUGUUAAGUCAGUUGUGAAAGUUUGCGGCUCAACCGUAAAAUUGCAAUUGAUACUGGCAGCCUUGAGUACAGUUAAGGUAGGCGGAAUUCGUGGUGUAGCGGUGAAAUGCUUAGAUAUCACGAAGAACUCCGAGUGCGAAGGCAGCCUACUAAACGGCCACUGACAUUGAUGCUCGAAAGUGUGGGUAUCAAACAGGAUUAGAUACCCCAGUAGUC